rnacentral:rRNA from 1 species
UACGUAGGAUGCAAGCGUUGUCCGGAAUUAUUGGGCGUAAAGAGCGCGCAGGCGGUGUAUCAAGUCAGAUGUGAAAUGUCCCGGCUUAACCGGGAAGGGUCAUUUGAAACUGGUAGACUUGAGUACAGCAGAGGAUAGCGGAAUUCCCGGUGUAGUGGUGAAAUGCGUAGAUAUCGGGAGGAACACCAGUGGCGAAGGCGGCUAUCUGGGCUGAAACUGACGCUGAGGCGCGAAGGCUAGGGGAGCAAACAGG